GAUGAACGCUGGCGGCGUGCCUAAUACAUGCAAGUCGAGCGAACAGACGAGGAGCCUGCUCCUCUGACGUUAGCGGCGGACGGGUGAGUAACACGUGGAUAACCUACCUAUAAGACUGGGAUAACUUCGGGAAACCGGAGCUAAUACCGGAUAAUAUAUUGAACCGCAUGGUUCAAUAGUGAAAGACGGUUUUGCUGUCACUUAUAGAUGGAUCCGCGCCGCAUUAGCUAGUUGGUAAGGUAACGGCUUACCAAGGCGACGAUGCGUAGCCGACCUGAGAGGGUGAUCGGCCACACUGGAACUGAGACACGGUCCAGACUCCUACGGGAGGCAGCAGUAGGGAAUCUUCCGCAAAGGGCGAAAGCCUGACGGAGCAACGCCGCGUGAGUGAUGAAGGUCUUCGGAUCGUAAAACUCUGUUAUUAGGGAAGAACAAAUGUGUAAGUAACUAUGCACGUCUUGACGGUACCUAAUCAGAAAGCCACGGCUAACUACGUG
rnacentral:rRNA from 1 species